UGUGUGUUCAGUGUGUGUGUGUGUUCAGUGUGUGUGUGUUCAGUGUGUGUGUUCAGUGUGUGUGUGUGUUCAGUGUGUGUGUGUUCAGUGUGUGUGUGUGUGUUCAGUCUGUGUGUGUGUGUGUGUGUUCAGUGUGUUCAGACCAACAGCAGAUACAUAAACUGGUCCAAGGCCGAUUCUGACCCGGUAUCAGACCCAAAUCAGGAAAUCAGAACCAAAGCUGUAGAUUUAUGAAAAAAAAACAUGAGAUCAAUACAGCAGAGCAGCACUCUAAAAAGUGUAUUUGGGCUGUAGUUAAUGUUAUGGCCUUUUUUACAUUACCUGACUUAAUUGUUUGGCUUUAGUUAUGUCAACUUACUUUCAUGAGUUCAAUUAACUUAAAAGACACACAUUUCAUCUAAAACAAACGGUUAACUUUGAGUUGACGUGAACCAAUUAAGUUGAAUGCAGUUUUACGUCUGACGUCAUUACGCAAGCUUUGCCCGAGACAGAUCCACUUCUUGUACCGACCGCUUGUGCAGCCGCCAUUUCUUCUGACCAUCGACUGUCCACCGGAUUGUAAAACAGCCUGGAGCCAAGCAUCAUCAGACCAUAGAAGAUUGCCAUGGCAAGUUCAAAACCUGCAAGACUGAAGGUGAUUCUAGGAGAGAGCAACACUGAAAAACUGACUCUUCCAAAUGGCAUACCAGAUUCUCUGGAUGAUCUUCUCAGCAAGGUGAAGGGUACCUUUGGUUUAAAGACCAA